GGCUCAAUGGUUUAGUCCCUCCCUCUUACUUUCCCUUUAAUUUUUUAAAUAGUAUGGAGUUUUACUAAAAAAAGUGGUAUAAUUCUCCCUUAGGGUGGGAGAGGUCCUUGGUUCGAUUCCCAGUUGAGCCC